UACGAAGGGGGCUAGCGUUGUUCGGAUUUACUGGGCGUAAAGCGCACGUAGGCGGAUCGUUAAGUCGGGGGUGAAAUCCUGGAGCUCAACUCCAGAACUGCCUUCGAUACUGGCGAUCUUGAGUCCGGAAGAGGUGAGUGGAAUUCCGAGUGUAGAGGUGAAAUUCGUAGAUAUUCGGAGGAACACCAGUGGCGAAGGCGGCUCACUGGUCCGGUACUGACGCUGAGGUGCGAAAGCGUGGGGAGCAAACAGGG
rnacentral:rRNA from 1 species